rnacentral:lncRNA from 1 species
ACUACAAACAUUUGUCGUUCUAUAUGGUUAAGCCGUACGCAGCCACUUGAUGCGCUCCGCUGCAGCCCCAUCGCAACGUUGCUUUCCACAACGCCACCGCUGACCUCUGCUAUCUCCUUCACCAUCGCCAUCGCUGCGCUUUACGCGAAGUACUCCGCCUGCUUCAUUUUGAGCACCUUCAUGAUGCCCUUGUGCUCGCCCGCCAGCUCCGUGUACCGUCCCGGCAGCGAUUUGAGGUACUCCGCCUCGCCCGCCCGCACGUCGCGCAGCUUCUUGGCGGGGCUGCCCGCCCACACCUCCCCGGACGGCACGGUGGUGCCCUCCUCCACGUAGGAGCCCGCGGCAAUGACGGCACCCGACUGGAUCUGCACGUGCAACAAGUCACCCGUGCAGCGGAGACCGAAGCUCUGUUAUUAGUUUGCGGCACCAGGCCACAAGCUAGCUAGGCCCGUGGGGGGGCGCUGGCCCAGGCACCACGGCCACGUACCCGCACCUCCCCGCCCCUGCCUGAGGCACGCAU